AGAGUUUGAUCAUGGCUCAGAUUGAACGCUGGCGGCAUGCCUUACACAUGCAAGUCGGACGGCAGCGCGGGCUUCGGCCUGGCGGCGAGUGGCGAACGGGUGAGUAAUACAUCGGAACGUGUCCUGGAGUGGGGGAUAGCCCGGCGAAAGCCGGAUUAAUACCGCAUGCGCUCUGAGGAGGAAAGCGGGGGACCUUCGGG
rnacentral:rRNA from 1 species